GAUGAAGAACGUAGUGAAAUGCGAUAAGUAAUGUGAAUUGCAGAAUUCAGUGAAUCAUCGAAUCUUUGAACGCACAUUGCGCCCGCCAGUAUUCUGGCGGGCAUGCCUGUCUGAGCGUCAUUUCAACCCUCAAGCAACUUCUGCUUGGUGUUGGGGAUCGGCCGUAAACGCCGCCCCCGAAAUCUAUUGGCGAUCUCGCUGUAGCUUCCUAUGCGUAGUAGUAACAUCUCGCAUCUGGAGAGCGGCGCGGUCAUGCCGUAAAACACCCAACUUCUCAGGUUGACCUCAGAUCAGGUAGGAAUACCCGCUGAACUUAAGCAUAUCAAUAAGCGGAGGA
rnacentral:misc_RNA from 1 species